GAUGAACGCUGGCUACAGGCUUAACACAUGCAAGUCGAGGGGAAACGACGGGGAAGCUUGCUUCCCCGGGCGUCGACCGGCGCACGGGUGAGUAACGCGUAUCCAACCUGCCUCUGACUGAGGGAUAACCCGUCGAAAGUCGGCCUAAUACCUCAUGGCAUCGUCUGCGGGCAUCCAACGACGAUUAAAGAUUUCAUCGGUCAGGGAUGGGGAUGCGUCUGAUUAGUUAGUUGGUGGGGUAACGGCCCACCAAGGCGACGAUCAGUAGGGGUUCUGAGAGGAAGGUCCCCCACAUUGGAACUGAGACACGGUCCAAACUCCUACGGGAGGCAGCAGUGAGGAAUAUUGGUCAAUGGGCGAGAGCCUGAACCAGCCAAGUAGCGUGCAGGAUGACGGCCCUAUGGGUUGUAAACUGCUUUUAUGCGGGGAUAAAGUGAGGGACGUGUCCUUCAUUGCAGGUACCGCAUGAAUAAGGACCGGCUAAUUCCGUGCCAGCAGCCGCGGUAAUACGGAAGGUCCGGGCGUUAUCCGGAUUUAUUGGGUUUAAAGGGAGCGUAGGCCGUGGAUUAAGCGUGUUGUGAAAUGCAGGUGCUCAACGUCUGCACUGCAGCGCGAACUGGUCCACUUGAGUGUGCACAACGCAGGCGGAAUUCGUCGUGUAGCGGUGAAAUGCUUAGAUAUGACGAAGAACUCCGAUUGCGAAGGCAGCUUGCGGGAGCACAACUGACGCUGAAGCUCGAAAGUGCGGGUAUCGAACAGG
rnacentral:rRNA from 1 species